ensembl:lncRNA
AUGAAAAGUGCAGAAGGGAAUAGAACCAUCCACCAUUUGUGUACCACUCCUGCUAGUCAAGUCAUGCCUGUUGAGUUACAGCUUGCUUCUAGAAUCUGCCACAUUCAAAACCUGACCACUGCAACAGCACAGUUUAACCAGCAGAGGACAGCACUUGGACAUAAAUCUCAUCCUGAAAAGAAGAGGCUGUUAUGUGAAGGUGUUUCUGUUGAUUCUACUGGGGUUUCAGCACAGACAGACUGUGUUUCCCAUAUGCCUAAACAGACGUCAGAUGCUCUGGAGGACUGGCAGACAAUGGCAGAGUAUUACAUGGCAACAUUGUGUCCCAGUGAGCUCAGAAUGUUCUGGAACCCAGCACCUCCUAAAUUCAUCUGUGCCCCCUUUGUUAUGAAAGACACACUUUUCCCCAAAUACCAGAUAAAACUGGCACACCUGUGCAAAGAGAAUCUGUUGGAUGAGCUGCACAAUGUGGUGGAGUCAGUUAGCCAUGUGAUGGACACAGAACAGGCUACUUCUGAGGUUUUUUUAUUUAAAGAGAAUGUCUAAAGAGGAAGUUUUGGAAAACAAAUUUGGAAAAGUUGGUUUCUUUAAAACAUGAAAAAAGUUUCUUUUUUAUUUUUGUGUAAUACUUAUUUUUGUGUAAUUGACAAAAUGGCAUAACAAUGAAACUCUUUACAAACAUUAUUCUGAAAAGUGUAUAUGUGUAUGUUUUUGUGUUUUUAUACACUACUGUUCAAAACCUUAUGGUCAGUAUGAUAUUUUUAAUACUUUAUUUAGCACGGAUGCAUUAAAUUGACAAGAUUUAAAUUUCAAAUAAAUUAUGUUCUUUUGAACUUUCUAUUCA